rnacentral:tRNA from 1 species
GGAAUAUAGCUCAGUUGGUAGAGUUCCUGCUUCACAUGCACAAGUCCCUGGGUUCAAUCCCCAGAACCA